GACGAACGCUGGCGGCGUGCCUAAUACAUGCAAGUUGAGCGAUGAAGAUUGGUGCUUGCACCAAUUUGAAGAGCAGCGAACGGGUGAGUAACGCGUGGGGAAUCUGCCUUUGAGCGGGGGACAACAUUUGGAAACGAAUGCUAAUACCGCAUAACAACUUUAAACAUAAGUUUUAAGUUUGAAAGAUGCAAUUGCAUCACUCAAAGAUGAUCCCGCGUUGUAUUAGCUAGUUGGUUAGGUAAAGGCUCACCAAGGCGAGGAUACAUAGCCCACCUGAGAGGGGGGUCGGGCACACUGGGGCUGAGACCAGGCCCAAACUCCUACGGGAGGCACCAGCAGGGAACCUUCGGCAAUGGAGGAAAGUCUGACCGAGCAACGCCGCGGGAGGGAAGAAGGUUUUCGGAUCGGAAAACUCUGUUGGUAGAGAAGAAAGUUGGUGAGAGUGGAAAGCUCAUCAAGUGACGGUACCUACACAGAAAGGGACGGCUAACUACGUG
rnacentral:rRNA from 1 species